GUGGCAAAUACAUAAGGUUUAAACAAUUAAUUAAUUAUAACAUGUAAAUUAUAAAACUAUUGUAUUUGAAAUAGUUAUAUAAAUAUUUAAGUAUAUGAUUAACAUUAAAAAUAUAUACCACUUAUGUUCUAAAACAAUAAUUUAUGUAUAGAAAAGUGAAAACAAACACCCGUGCGGUUGUCCGGGUCAAAAUCUAGUUUUUGUUUUAAAAGUGGAGUAGUUAAAUAGAUGUGUGUUAGUUUAUUUUGGAUUCAUACUAGUGUAUCUAUUUUCUAUAUUUAUUUUGCUAGUUCCACUACAAAAAAAGUCUACAUUGAUAGCACAUUGUUAUAGCACGUUUUACUGAACUGCUGUCGUAGAUGAUUUAAAUAUUUCUGUAUUAUAUUAUAGCAUUAGAUAAACGCUAUGGUAGAGUAAAACCUAAAAUAGCACUUAAUUAAUGUUAUUUUAAAAAUUAAGUGAGCGAGAAUAUAAAGUCACAGAUACCGCCAACACUUAGUGAAAAUUAGAUUUAAGCGCCAAAGAUAUUUUUAAGCGGCUUCAACAAUGCUAUCAAAGACAUAUAAUAGCAUUUUUAUAACGCUAAGAAAAGCUCUUUGAACCCCUAAACUCUAAACAUAGUUUUAAACUCUAAACAUUGUUUUAAACCCUAAACUUUAAAGACAACCUUUAAACCUCUAAUUUUUUCAUACUAUAACUUCAAAUCUUAAAAUUAAAAUCAAAAUUUAAUCUUUUUAAUCUUAAUCUAUAAUUUCCUAAACACAUAUCUUUAAUCUUUAAUCAAACUCUAUAUCUUAAAUCUAAACUUCAAAUGUAAACUAAACAUUCAAUACUCUAAAUAUAAACUUCAAAUCUAAAUUAUUAAAUAUUUAACUACAAAUCGUCUAGUAUUCAAAUCUAUUAUUUUCGAAUCUUAAUCCAAAACACUAAAUUUUAACCCUAAACCUCAUAUUCCAACAUCAACACCUUAAAUCAUAAAACUAAAUUUACUCUUAAUCAUUUUUUUUUUGUAAAUCAUAAAAUAUAAAUUUAAAACUUUUCAAAUUUUGAAUCAAACAUACAAAUUUAUAAACGGAUUAUAAAUCAGAUUUUUUAUAAACAUGCAAAUUUAAAAAUGAUGACCAAAAUCAUAAUGAUGAUAUUAAUCUAAUAUUUUCAAACUUAAACAUCAAUUCAUAAAAUAAAUAUCAGUUUAUUAGGUUCAAAAAAUAAAAAAAUUAGACUUAAAUUAUAAACUACAGAAUAUUAAUUUUGAAAUAAGAUAUAACUAAUAAAAAUCACUUACAAAACAAAUUAUCAAAUAUGGAAAGACAAAACAAAAAUAAAAAUAAAAAAACAAAAACAAAAUUGUCUGGGCAAUCAGAUUAAAGUACAUGGAUCACACUUUUGAACCGUUAGAUUAACUUAGAUCUGAAGGUUAAGAUUUAUUCCUUUAAUUUUUAUUUUUAUUUUCUCCUCUCCCUCUCUCUCUCUCUCACUCUCAACUCCACGGAUCUGGUCUUCAUGUUCUUCUCCUUCAUUCUCAUCUCUCCCAUCCCUCUCCAAGCUUACUGUUUCUCUCAUCUCUCCUAUCUCUCUCCACGCCUCUCUCAUCUCUCCCAUCUCUCUCCCACCGCGUCUCCUCCUCGUCUCACCACCACCAGGGUCGCCCUCUCACCACCACCACCACGGUCGCCCUCCCACCACCACCACGGUCGCACUCCCACCACCACCACGAUAGUUGGGGAGGCAAGGUUCAUGGUGGCUGGAGGAGGCAAGGUCCAUGGCGGCUUGAGGACGGAAGUCUCGUGGCGGCUGGAGGAGGCAAGGCUCAUGGCUGUUGGAAGAGGGGCAAGGUUAUGGAGGAGGCGGCUGCAGUCUUUUUUUUUUUUUUUUAGGUUAAGAUUUGGUUUAGUGUAACCGGGUUAGAAAAAUUGUAGUGGUCUGAGUUUGCUGUUAUAAUUUCUGGUUAGUUUUGUAAACCAGGAUUAAUUUGUAAACCAAUUUUAAUAUAUAAAUAAAAUUUAUUUUAAUUUCAUUAUAAAACAAUUUUCGGUUUAAUAUUAAUUAUUUUAUUUCGAAUUAUAAUUAAUUUUAGUUUAUUGCAGAAAGAUCUAUCAUAGCACGAAAAUAUAAAUCGUAACCAAUUUAUAACAAAAAAAUAAUGUUAUGUUUAAGUUAAUAAUAUCAUUCAAAUAUUGCUAUCGUAUCUGCACAAUUCAUAGCAUUUAAAAAAAUGUUAUCGUAGAGGGGGUACCUAUGAUGGCUGCCGAUGACAUAGCAUUUCAAGUUUCGCUAUAAAAGCCCUACCAUAGCGUUUAUCGUGUGCUAAGAAUGCGCAUAUUUCUUGUAGUGUUCUUAUUGGUUAGAAUUAUUUGCCUAGAAAGUUUAUAAUACAAUCCAGCGACAAAAAAAGUUGGGUAGGUUAGAUGGUUAAGGAAAUUGAAUGUAUUUGUUUUAAACAAAAGUUAUGUAAAAAAAAUUCUAAUUGUUAGGGUGUUAAAUGGGUCUGACCAGACUAAUGAGCCUUAACAAAUUUGGUCCGCUGAAACCCUAGGUUUGUUUCAUGACUAACCAUCAUUAUCUGUAUCUCUUUUUUUUGGGCCAACCAAUAUGUGCAUCUCUUUUUCUUUUGAAUUUCUUUUUGUAACAUUUUGGCAUCUCAUUGUGUGUGCAAUGAUAAGAUAUGAAGAUUUACAUUGAUGACAAACAAAAACGGCAUCCUCUCUGGCAAGAUCUCAGAUCCAUUUAUCCAAGACGUAUUUAAAUUUGUCUCAUUCAUUUUGGCAUCCUGUUCGAUAUUAAGAAUUUAAUAGAUAGGUCUUUAUUAUAUCAGUCAAGCACACAUGGGAAAAUCAUUUACAAAACUGACGUUGAUUAUGAAGGUAGUUGGGGUAACUGGUAAUCAGAAGAAAGAACACAUGAGCAAGAUGAAUCUAUUUUUGUGAACAAAGUUUGACUGGAAUAGUUUGAGUGCAAAGUGCUCCAAGUAGUUUUAGAAAUCCCCUUUCGUGAUAAUUAUUGAUUAUAUGAAUUUUCCAACUUUUUUUUGCUAAACAUACUGAAAUUUGUAACUUCUACAGGAAAACUAUAGUAUCGAAAAGUGUGUUGGGGCCCUUUGCCUCGAACGAAUUAUGAAAAAUCUCUGAUUGGUAAUUAUCGAGUGACUGCAAGGGACUUGUAAAUUUUAUAGAACGGUUCAACAUCAGGCUAUAAGAGGUUUUCUUAUAGCCAGCAUAUAUUCUAAGAGCAAACCCACUUAAGGGUUUCUAAAAUUUUUUAAUUCUUCUUUAUUUUUUUUCUGUCUGAUUAAAAAAAAGAAAAUUAAAAAGCGCACCAAUCGCGGACCGUCACGUGUCGGUGGGAUCCGCGAACAGUGCAAAAAAACCACCACAAGGGGUCCUUUUUUUCUUUGUGCAACCUUUCAUUUCAUUAACUUAAACUUCAAACAUACAAUAGAUAGAGGGAAUUAUCCAUCCUCUUUGAUUACAACAACACUACAAGAAAACAAAGAGAUUCUGAUGGCCAAAAUCGUCGGAAGUUCGUCGGAAAAGGCCUAUUCCGACGCAUUUCUGACGAAGGCGUUCGUCGGUAUCAUUUCGUCGGAAAAAAAGAAUUCGUCGGAAUUUCGUCAGAAUUUCCGACGACUUUCUGACGAAUACCGAGAAAUAACAUUCUGACGAACUUCCGACAAUAUUCCGAUGCGGACACACGAGACUAGAGUUCAUCGGAAAAACUAUAUACCGACGGAGACGGAUCCUCCGAAGAUUCCGACGAACUAAGUUCUCGGUAAAUACCGACGGAGUCUGAUUCGUCGGUAAAUACCGACGGAAUAUGACUCGUCGGUAAAUACCGACGGAUUACGAUUCGUCGGUAAAUUCCGACGACUCACCAUUCGUCGGUAUGUUCCGACGAAUCAUAGUCCGUCGGUAUUUACCGACGAGUCAUACUCCGUCGGUAUUUACCGAGAACUUAGUUCGUCGGAAAAUGUCAAUUUUAAUAAUACGAAUUAAUUUUGCAUUUUUAUAUAUAUUUUUUAUAUGAAAAAUUAAUUAAUAAAUAAAUAAAAUCUGAAAUUUAAAACUAAUAAUAUUAUAGAAUUUAAAUUCAUA